UGAGUAGUAGUUCUUGCCUGAUGGAGACUU
rnacentral:piRNA from 2 species